rnacentral:lncRNA from 1 species
AUUAAAUACUAAAUUGGAAGUAACAGUAGUAAAUAGAUGUUAAAAUCUAUAAAGAAUAAAGGUACAACUCAAGUUGAAGCAAUUUUGGAAUCGUAUGAACUUCCACAGGAGCGAGAAGUGACUCAUCAUCGUAUAUAUCAUGGUGUACAUGCAUUUCAAGUCAUACAAAAGGAUAUAUUACAACAUUAUUUGAAAGUUAUCAAAUGAAAAAGGAAAACCACAAAAACUCCACGGAAAUUCGAAACGGAAGGUCUCUAAUCAAAUGACAAAACCAAUAGCUCAAACAAAUCAAUCGAAUAGACAAC